CGUUCGUGAAAAGAACAGAGAGAGAGAGAGACUGGGCUGAGUUACUCACUAGGUCGUCAUUGAAUUGUGUCGUUCUGUUGUUCCUAGUACCUACCACUCAGGUUGGGAAUUUCGCUCGGAACUAGUCGGUCGGUCAGCGCAGCGUAGAGAGUUUGCUAUCGCGGGAUUAGCGGAAGAUUUUUUUUAUGAUUGAAACGUGAUUGGCACGAGAUCGUUGAGUUUGUGCAUGCAUGAGGUGGCGCCGCAGGCAGGUUUUAGAAAAAAAAACGGGGAUUUCAACGUGCGUCAAUGGAUUGGGCGCAGAUCGGAUUUUGACCAGACAAACGGAUGGAUUACUAACUGCAUCAGGAGUUUUCCCGCGCAUAACUUAUAUUCGUUCGGAAUAUUACACCGUGGAGUGAGAGGGUGGCUGUUCUUGGAACAGUAACGAGAAGGAAUAUUACCAUCCACAGUUGCAUCCAAUGGAUGAUUGCUAUCCUUAAUGAGGUUGCAAAGUUAGUAGUCUUGAUAUCUGAGUAAGUUUCUCAAAAUUGACAGCAUUUUCGCAAUUCGCAAUUCUCGCAAUUUUCAGUGUAAGAACGGGCCUUGACCGAUCUUAUGCACUAGGUUCCCGACGAACACGCACUGCCCUUACACCUACAUCUCACCCUUGCUCUGAGUCAGUACGAGCAGCACGCUAGAACACGCUUUGAGUGUUCGUGCCAGGCAUGCACACCUUCUUUUCCGGUUACGCAUUUUAACUCGGCCGGGGGUGGUACAUUACGUAGGGUUUGAUGUAAGUAUAAGCGCCUAACCAUUUAUAGUGUGCCUAUCAAUUUUCAUUAAAGCAGUUUAGUUUGAAUUCAAAAACUAGUUGUUAUUUUACUGUGUUUUGUUUUCUCCUGAAAUCUUUCCUAGUGUUGAGUCGUGUUUUUAUGUUGCUAUUUCUUUUGUCGCGGUGUUUUGUUACAACUUUUGGUCCUAAGCAUUUUAUAAAAGUUUUUCAAAAGUACAAUAGUAAUAUUUGUGUUAAUUCUUUGAUCACUCCAAAAAUUGAGUAAGGGCUCGAACCUCAUUUGUUUGAAGAAAAGGGUGAAGAUUGAAAACAAUGGACAGUGAAAGAAAUAUACUAUUUGAAGAAUCAAUAGUAAAAGAAAUAUAGUAAUUUAUGAAGUAGAUAAAGAAAUUAACAAUAAUUAAUAAAUAGAGCUAACAAACAAGCUUAGAUUGUAUUGAGGGCAAUUUAUAGGGCAAAUGAAAAAUUAUUCAAAUAGAUAAAUAAAGAAAAGGCAGAUGAUAACAAAAUUGACAUCGCUGCCAAAUUAAGGGAAAGCAGAAAGUAUGUUACAGCAGCAUCAAUUGGUAAAAUAGAGUGAAAAAGCGUUGAGAAAUAAGAGAAUCAAAUGAGUAAAAUCGAAAUCAAAUGGAGGAUAGUAAACAGAAGCCGCGUUAGAAAAUCAGUGAAACAAAAUAAACAGAAGAUAGGUGGUAG